UACAGAGGGGGCAAGCGUUAUUCGGAAUUAUUGGGCGUAAAGGGCGCGUAGGCGGCCUGGCAAGUGGAAGGUGAAAUCCCUCGGCUUAACCGAGGAACUGCCCUCCAAACUGCUUGGCUUGAGUCCGGGAGAGGUGAGUGGAAUUCCCAGUGUAGCGGUGAAAUGCGUAGAUAUUGGGAGGAACACCCGUGGCGAAAGCGGCUCUCUGGAACGGUACUGACGCUGAGACGCGAAAGCGUGGGGAGCGAACAGG
rnacentral:rRNA from 1 species